rnacentral:lncRNA from 1 species
CGGUUUUGCUAAGGCCUCCCCCUCUUUCCUGUGAGCUUCUGCAAGGUCUGCAGCAAAUACCUCACAAGCGUUGGGGAAAAAGGAUGUAUGUUCCCUGCCUCUGAAGAAACAGGUACAAUCUUGCAUAAAAUUGCUUGUUAACAUUGAUCUGUGCGUGGAAUCAGUUUGUGUUGCAGGGAAAUGAAGCGUCCUACACGCCUGUGAUCAAAAUGAAUUUCAUCAUCUCAACCUUCUUUUUUUUUUUUAAUGAUAGCAAGACAGUGUCUGGCAGACAAAGGAACUGGUUGGGAGCUGAAAAUAGGUAAUGGUAGCAGCAGGGAUUUUUAAUUGGCUGGAAGAGACGGCGAAGAUCUGGAAGGUGAAGCCCUAGCUCGUGCUCCUGGCUGAGACUAAGCCCAGGUUUCAGGAUUAGGAAGGAAAUCUAAACCACCUAUUGCCACGGAAUGUAGAAACCCUGGCUUUAUUUGGCAGUUGUUGGCUUCUACAAUUCAAUUAAAAAUAUCCCCAUCCUCCAGAGAGUUAUUUUAUUCGUCAGAAUUCAUAACAUGCUCAACAAAGGUCAAGGCGUUUUGGCAAAGUGCGAUGCGGCUAAGAAAAUAGAAGAGAAGGAAGCUGAUGCAGGAUCUGCCAGUGUUCCUGGUGAUGUCAUGAGGACGAAGAAACUCUCUUUUGAGGGGGCCUGGGUAGGGCUGGCUGCCACUCACACCUUGAGACUCAGGUACCCAAAGAACUAAGUUCAAACUACCCUUACAAUUUAGAAGCCCUGAGCUGAUUUUUCUUUUGCUGGGCUCGGCAGCAUCCCUGUUUGCUGGUGGGUCUCAAACUGAGUGAUGCAUUGGAAUUGCGUGGCGGGUUUAUUAGUGCACGGAUUGCUGGGCCCCGAGCCGCAGAGUCUGAUUCAGUGGGCCUGGAGCGGGAACUGAGAGUUUGCAUUGCUAACAAGCUUCCAGGUGAAGCUGACGCUGCUGGUCCAGGGACCACCUUUUGGAAGCACUGCUCUAUGCCAAUAACAGUGGGUGGAUUAAGAAAAGGCCGUGGAGCUGUUACUUCAAGUCAUGGAGCCUCUUGGUGGCUCAUUUCCUCACCUUGAGAAUGGAGACAACACUGAGAACAUCUACUGGGCAGGGGUGUUAUGAGUGUUAAAGGAGGCAGUGGGUGUGAAGUUCCUGGUAUACAACAGGGCUUAAUACAUGAUCAUUUUCAUUAGGUGUGGGCUGACCCGCCUGUCAGUGGACAGGACCCCUCCCUGCCCCACCGACUAAUUCUGCCUGGAAUUGUAUCAUUAGACAGCCAUCCGUCGGCCCUUUAAGAUAUACAUGCACCAGAGAGAGGAAGCUAAAUCUGGCUCAGACCUCUUGAGACUUACGAAUCAGUUUCUCAGCUGUGCUUUCUUCCCAAAUUGAGAGGAUCGGGGCAUAGCAAAUAACGCCAAGGUAAGAGGUGGGAGAGUACCUGAUUUUGUUCAAUUUCUCUGCCGCUGGCCAGGAGACUAGUCAUUUCUUUUCCCCAGGGCCUCAGUUUCUGCCAGGGUAAAAUGAGAGGGCUGGACCAGCUGAUUGUCUAAGGGGUCUUCAGUGUCAUGAUUCAUGAUGGGGGACUGACAAGGACUGUGAGAGCAACCGGACCACAGGGGUCCUGGAAUGACGCACGGAGGCUGGAUGGUGCAGGGUUAAGGGCUCAGGUGAUGAGUCAUUGUGCCUGGCUUCAGACCUCAGCCACUGAUCAGCUCUGUGACUGUGGGCAAGCUCCCCAACCUCUCUGUUCCUCAGUGCCUUCAUUGGGUACAGAUUAGCAGCACGUCCCUCCCGGAGUCGCUGUGAAGAUGGAACGAGGUUUUGCAUGUAAGCCUCUCAGAACAGCACCUGUGGCACACAGCACAUGCUGAUCUGUGUGAGCUGGCAUAAUAUUUCACGGCCUGCUUGGUCACAAACGGCCCUCCUGGAGAUAUGACAGCCCUGCCCUGGAGACAGUGACACCCCGGAAGACCCUUCUAGAAGGCCCACGUCCGAGUGGCCUGUUGCAGCCACAGCUAUCACACAGAGGAGACUGACUCCUCCAGAGCAAAGGCCUGAGUAGUCAGGGGAGGACUGGGUGGCAGGUAGGUCCAUUUUUAUAUAAAAGUCCAAUUUAUAUGCCAAAGUGACGAAGCCAAAGGGAGUCUCAAUCCUGGACUGAAGGUCCCAAGGUCUCCAGCUACAGAAGUAAGUAGGUCUUAAACUCUCACAACUGUUGACUGUUCAGGAGAAUCCCUUGUCUAUCUGUGGUGGGAGUGGGGCAGGAGAGAGUGGAGAGGUGAAGGGUCAAGGCCAUAACCCCAAAGACACCACUUUUGAAGAUGUUCUCCUUCCAGCCUUCUGGUGCUGGCAGUGUACCGUUUCCAAAGCAGUGGAAAUGACCCUAACUCUUCUAUUCCUGCCUGCCUGCACUGGGUCUCUGUCUCUCUCUAUCUAUCUCUCUCUUUCUUCCUCCUCCCUCCCUCCCUCCCUUCCUCCCACUCUCCUCUCUCUCUCUCUUUCUCUCUUUCUUUCUUCUUUUUUGAGACAGGCUCCCACUCUGUUGUCCAGGCUUCCAGGCUAGAGUGCAGUGGCACGGUCACAACUCACUGCAGUUUCCAUCUCCUGGGCUCAAGUGAUUCCCCUGCCUUGGCCUCCCGAGUAGCUGGGACCACAGGUGCCCGCCACCACACCUGGCUACUUAAAAAAAAUUUUUUUGUAGAGAUGAGGUCUCUUUUGCCCAGGCUGGAGUGCAGUGGUGCCGUAAGAGCUCACAGUAGCCCUAACCUCCUAGGUUCAAGUGAUUCUGAUGCCUUGGCCUCCCAAAGUGCUGCGACCACAGGUGUGAGCCACAAUCCCUGCCUGGGCCUCUUUUUAUCUCCUCCGGACACAUAAGGUCUGCCUGGGCCCCAGCCUGCUCUCCCCUUCCUCAUGGGAAUUCCUCAGGAAUAAGGUAACUGAGAUUAUACACAGCAAUGUGGGCAGGACAUUCUCAAAUGAUUUCUUCCUAGCAAUGAAAGGCCAGAGCCUUCCAGACUGUUGAAUUUGACAGACAAUCUGUCUUCAUUUCUAAACGUCCUCUAAGAAGAACAAAUCUGUUAUACUCUGGCCAACAUAUUUCCAUGGAAAUAAAAUAAUGAAAUCUGACCCAAACGUCAAACCCUGAUAUGUCUUGGAAUUUAACAAAGGAUGGAGCAGACGCAGUGGAGGGAAGGAACACCCAGGAAGCUUUCUUCCGGCAGCUCAACCCAGAAGCUGCCUUCCUGCAUUUCAUGGAGAUGGUAGACACCAAUGCUCUCCACGUGCAUGGGAUUCACACCAGAAAAAAUCAUCCAGGCCAGAAAGAGGCCGCUCACAGCCAGCAUGGAACGUUCCCCAUCCGCUGGACUUUAAACCUGCUGAAGCGAACAUUUCAGAAAGGAAAUAGAGCAGAGCCAAAUUCCCCAGCCAUGUGAAAACCGAGAGGGAGAGGCUUCCAGCCCUAGAGGGCCCUAGCUCUGGCUGCUGUCUGGCUCCUGCCGCUGGCCUGCCACCGCGUGACUCUCAGCUUCUGGACCGGGCUUCCUCAGGCUGCAGGAUGCUCCCCAGAUUGAGCUGACCCCCUUCCCAGCAAAGCCCAGCAAGUUCCAGCAAGUUCUCAUUGUCUGCCUAGUAGACCUGAGUUUGAGUCAUGUUUGAGGAGGUUUCCUUGUGCGCGGGGAAUGGGAUGGCGGGGAGUGGAGGGUUCUAAUGUCUGUGCUUUUAAGUAGAAAAGAUAAUAAUGAAAUAGCUAACAUUUAGCCUGUAGUCCCAGCUACUCAGGAGGCCGAGGUAGGAGGAGCACUUGGGCCCGGGAGUUCAAGUUGCAGCGAGCUUUGAUCAUGCCACUGCCCAGUAGCCCUGGUGACAAAGAGAGAUCCUGUCUCUAAUAGAAAAAGAAAAGAAAGAGCUAACAUUUACAGAUAACUUACUAAGCAUCAGGCACUUCAUGUACAUUGAAAACGUUUGAUUCAUAUGAGACAGGUACUCUUACCAGCAUUUUACUAAUGAGGAAACUGAGGCUGAUUUCUUCUCUAAAAACAAACAGGCUGGGCCUAGUGAUUCAUGCCUGUAAUUCCAGCAUUUUGGGAGGCUGAGGUGGGAGCACUGUGUGAGGCCAGGAGUUUGAGACCAGCUGGGCAACACAGUGAGACCCCCAUCGCUACAAAAAUAUUUAACAAUUAGCCAGGUGUGGUGGCACAUGCCAGUGGUUUCAGCUCUUCAGGAGGCUGAGGUGAGGGGUUCUCUUGAGCCUGGGAAUUUAAGGCUGCAGUGAGCCAUGGUUGCACCACUGCACUCCAGGCAACAGAGCAAGACUCUGUCUCAAAAAAACCAAAAGCGAAACCUUUGCAGGUAAACACUGGAAUGGGUGUGGCUCUUUGAGCUCAGAAUGCCUUCUAUUAUUGUCAUUUGAUAAGGCCUGGUAAGAAUACAUUCCUUCUUGGAAUGUGUCUUCUGUGAAAAUAAGAUACAAAAGGAUGGAGAUGUCAGCUUCCAAGAGCGCUGAGGGCCGAAUUCUGAAAGCAAAUGUCACAGCAUUCAUGAUGCUCAGACACAGACCAGCAGCCGAGGUGGCAGCUGCUCUCUCCCUCCUCUUCCUUUCCGCACAGGCCUGACGGUUGGGAAGCACACCCUUCCCCUCUCAGAGGCUUUCUCAUCGGCUCUUCCUCAUCGGCUGCUUCUUGGGAGAGUGCUGCGGUUUGGGCUGUUUUAGUCUCCAAGGGGAUGGGUGAUUUAUAUCCUUUUAUUCGGCAAACAGCUUUGUACAGAAUGAAUACCGCUUGCUGAAUGUCACCAGGCGGGGGCAGGGGAGCCGUAUAGAAUCCCAGUGAAGCCUUCCAGGCCUGGGCAAAAUGGCACCUGGCGACUCGGUUAGUGUGUGUGUUUUCUCCGGCGGGAGUAAGGAAGACACAGUCAGAGUGGAAGGGAAAUGCAAAGACUCCAGCGCCCCCCUCCCCUGCUAGUGCCUGCCACUUUCUGCUUCUCCAUCUUCUCCUGCCCUUUGCAGGACAGGGCCCUCUCCACCUCGGAGAGAAGCAAGGCAGUCAGUGACCUAUGGACUUCAGGGAGGGGCUCCUUUCUGUGGCGCUGAGUCAGCAUGCCAGGCCUGCAGGGCUACACAAUCAAGCAUGAGGGAUUGCGGCUUUCACCAGGGCAUAUCAGGGCUUAGCUCUGCACUCAACCUUGCCCAAGCCAGGGUUCCGGCUGGAGGCCCCUUGCUCUUCUCACUCUCUUUCCAUGCUCCUGCUUCUCACCUCUCCCCAUCCACACCUGGGUCUGUACGUUCCCUGAGACUGUGAGCCAUGCCUCUUCACACACACACACACACACACACACACACACACACACACACGGGUGCCCAGCGUGGCCCCAUUCUCAACACACAAUAAAUAAGUGCUCGAUGUUUGUUGAAUGAAUAACAAAUGGCCAACUCAUUCCCCCAUGAACCCUGGCACCCCAGCACUGCCCUGCAUGAACCCUGGCACCCCAGCACUGCCCUGCAUGAACGCUGGCACCCCAGCACUGCCCUGCAUGAACGCUGGCACCCCAGCACUGCCCUGCAUGAACUCUGGCACCCCAGCACUGCCCUGCAUGAACUCUGGCACCCCAGCACGGCCCUGGGGCCUGUGGGCUGCUCUGGCAGGAUGACAAAUCAUGCCCCAGUGUUUAGGGCAGUGCUACCAAUGCACUAAGAGAUGGGAAAGGUGGUAGAUUCUCAGGACUUGGAGAAACUUUUGCAAUCACAUCGCCCAGCCCUCUCAUUUUACAGAUGAGGACACCGAGGCCCAGAGAGGUGUCCUGCCAAAGCCACACAGCACAGAGGAGCAGAGCCCGGGUCCAGCUAUUUCUCCUAUCUCACCACGCUGCCUCUUCUCACUGGAAGAGUGUACCAACGCGGGAGUCUGGCCCCUACCCAUCCCAAGCCUGAUCCCUACCUAAGAGCGUCUCCACCAGCAGCUCCAGGAGGGAUGAUAAAUUGUCAAAAGCCACCAAGAGUCAGGGACAGGAACUCAGUUCUGCCCAGCUGAGGGCUGUGCAGGGAUUUCAAGGUACCUGUGCGAACCCCAGCCCUCACUCAUUGAACUCAGUCAGAAAACCACCGCGUCAGUGGAUUUAGAAAUGUGACAGGGAUUUCAGAGGGCAAUGGGUCCAGCCCUCACAACCCAGCACCACUCUGCAGGCAUGGAAACGCAGGCCCAGAGGACAGGGGCUUCUCAAUAUGGGCACACAGCACCAAGACAGCUCCAUAAAUAGAAGUGAAAUAUCCAAGCUCCCACUCCAGGGAAGCUGACCACUGGGUGGAUGACUCCCCCAGCGUCCAAACCCUCUCUGGCAGUCCCUUGCUGCUCCAGGAGCGAGGAUGAAAGGGAGAGCUCUUCCCAGGGCCUCCGGGGAGACACUUCUGCUGACUGUCCCCAAGGAGAAAGAGGGGAGAGAAAUGAGGGAGGGUCCCUGAAGAAUGGAGACCUUCAAGAAGGAGGCCAACCUCGGGGACCAGUGGAAGCCAGAAAGAGCACGGGGGCAUGGCAGGGGCUGAAGCCGAUGUCCCAGGGAAGGAGUAGCUGCAAGGCCCCUCAGCCUCAGAGGAGCGCCAGCCCCGCCCUGCCAUUCUGGACAAGGCAUGAGUGUGAAGAGACUCUUGCCUGUCCACACUAUCAAGGCUGAGCGGGGGCAAAGGCAGCCCCCUGGGGGUCCCCACCCUGCUACUGGACUUUAAAACCAUUUUCUUUGGUUUUAAAGAAACAAUUUUUCUUUGGUCAUGAUUUUGUUGGUAGAUUUAUCUUUAUGGAAUUGUAGUAUUUUCUUGCUCUAAAACCCUCAGUUUAACCCCUUCUUUUUUCUGUCUCACAUUUUUGCCUCCAGCGAUAUGAAAAUGAACCUUGGAGAAUGGGAGGGUCCUGGGGGAGGGGGGCUGAGGGGCUCUUCACCAGGCAGAGAUGAACCCCAGUGCUGACACAAGCCCUUUCCUUUUCCUGGUUUCUCUUGCCCUGGAGAGUGACAGGCAGAAAGGGCUUUUUGUCUCUUUGGACCAUUUCUGUAUCCCUGCUGCCUCAAACGAAGCCUGGCCUGGGGCGAACUCAAUCAAUGACUCUGACGGGAGACAGGGCUCCGGCCCACUGGGGUGAUGGGCUAAAGAGGGGAUUCUGGUUCCUGUGGACAAUCUGGAAGCUGGAAGCUGUUAGAACUGGAGCGAGGAUUUCACCAAGGAGCUCACAGAGAGAGCCCGGGCAGGAACUCUCCAAUCAUCUGGCGGCUGAGGCCCUUUCGCUGGAGGAGGAAAUGGGCCACACCGAUGGGGGUGUCCGGGAUGAAGCCGCGUGAGAUCAGGAACUGGAUGCCCUUGUCGGGGUUUCUGGAGGUGGGGGUGGGGAGAAGCAGUAGAGAGUGAGCUGAAGCCAUCCAUGACUCUUUCCUCCCUGUCUUCCACCCAUAGAAGUACCCAGAGGUUCUUGGAAAUCCAGUUCCCCAUUGAAGCUUCUCUCACCAGAGCCUCAACCCACUGAAUGUCCUCACGCAGAGGAUGGUGUGUGACCAGAAGGAGGACAGGGGAGAUCUGCAAACAAAGUCCCCACCGCAGACGCCCCAACCCUGGAGAGAGGGUGGGAGAAACAGAGGUGAGACCUCCGCCACACCACCUCUUCCCUUUGCAAGCUUUGAAGCCAUGCUGCUCCCUGAGCUGUUCCUCACAGGUCCGGGAGGAGAUAAGUACAGAAACACAAGGUAAGCACUGAGAACCUCCCAUAGCAUUUCGACAUUUUCCGGGACAGCCAGGCAUGUGAUUGUCUUUCUAGCACCUCAUUUUUAUUGUAUUUUACAAAAGUAUUAGCCCACAAUGUAUUUUCAGAAGGGUGUGGGGGAACAAAACUGGUUCUUCACUAUGGAUAGUUUAAGAAUUCCUGUCUUGGGGCAGAUGAGUGUCUGUAUGAGUUUUCAUGUGCAUGCAGAAGAGACACUGCAGAAGUGGGAGUGGUUCAGAGUCAGAUCCGCCUUUCCCUAGGUCUGCCGAGUACUAGCUAUUUCAUCGUGUGCAUUUCGCCUUACUGGUGUGAGCCGGCUUCUUUUCUGUAAAACAGCAUGGUAAUACCUCUGUGUAGAUACUGCUGGAAGAUUACAGAUGCUUUAUGUAAGGGAGCACAUGGUCUUGAGGCUCCACGUGCUGAGCGCGUCGUCGAUGGACUUGGCCAGGGAUUGCACCUGCUCGGUGAAGGAGUCCUCCAGCUCGGCUCUCGGCCGUGGGUGACCGCACCUUGCGCAGGGAGAUCCGCCGUGGCAGGCGGCUCUCCAGAAGCGAGUUGCGGAUUUUCUCGAAGUUCUUGCUGAGCUGGUAUUGGCGGAAGGCGGUUUGGAUGGUGCAAGCGGCGCGCCGGGACACCAGGUGACCGCCGUACUUAUGUUCUAGCAUUUCAAUCUGCAAGGACGAGGACAGAGAGGAGGAAGGGCUCAGAGGGGAAGGGUGGUCAGCCCUUCUGAGGAGUGGUGGAGUCACCCGGCCACACUCGGGUGGGGCCCAGGAAUGGACGGGGGCGGGGGGGCGCUCCUGGGCAGCUAAAGUCUGAACCGCCUAGAACGUCCUGGCCACGUGGCAAGACUCCUAGAGGUGUAGGACGGAGGGGUCCGUUCUGGGGACUAGUGAUGUCUCAAGGGCCAGGAGGGAGGUGCUGCAUAUGGCGUUCAGAUAUCGAUGCUGUGGCGGGUAUUACAAAAUGUUCAUGGCCGGGCGCAUUAGCUCAGGCCUGCAGUCCUAGCAUCUUGGGAGGCUAAGGAGAGAAGAUUGCUUGAGCUCAGGAGUUUGCGACCAGGCUGGGCAACAUAGCUAGACCUUGUCUCUCUCUUGAAAAAAAAAAAAAAAUUAACUGGGUGUCCUGGUGCGCGCACGCCUGUGGUCCUCAGCUACUGGGAAGGCUGAGGUGGGAGGACUGCUUGAGCCCAAGGAGUUGGAGAUUACAGUGAGCUAUGAUUGUACCACAGCACUCCAGCCUGGGCAAAACAGUGAGACCUUGUCUCUGUUUUUUUCUUUUCUUUUCUUCUUUUUUUUUUUUUUUUUAAGUUCAUGUCAGAGAUGCAUACAGAAGUACUUAUGGGUAAAAUGCAUGAUAUCUUGAAGUUGUGUUAAAAUAUUCUGUCAAAAAAUGUGGAAGAGUUAGAUGACACAAUAUUAAUGUUAAUAAAUAUUAAUAAAAUGGUUACAGCUGGAUGAUAGCUACGGGGGAGUUUAUAACACUGUCGUUUCUACUUUUGUGCACACUUUAAAACAAUAAACAAUGAAAAACAGAAAUGCUAAAAAACCUCACAGCUCCUCGUGCUUCCCCGCUCCUCCCCUAAACAAUGAAAAACAUAAAUGCUAAAAACCCUCACAGCUCCUCGUGCUUCCCUGCUCCUCCCCAGCAACCAUGUCUCUGUGUUGGGGUGGCUCCUUUCCCUGGGAACAUCAGAAGGGUCGGGAUUGGGGUUGGACCAUCUGUGUGUUCCCAGUACAUAGUUAGCUGCUCAGUAAACGUGGAU